rnacentral:rRNA from 1 species
GAUGAACGCUGGCGGCGUGCCUAAUACAUGCAAGUCGAGCGAAGCGAGGACGGGUGAGUAACACGUGGAUAACCUCCUAUAAGACAGGGAUAACUUCGGGAAACCGGAGCUAAACCGGACGCUUAUAGAUGGAUCCGCGCUGCAUUUGCUAGUUGGUAAGGUAACGGCUUACCAAGGCAACGAUGCAUAGCCGACCUGAGAGGGUGAUGUCCAACACUGGAACUAAGACAGGUCCAGGCAUCUACGGCAGGCAGCAGUAGGGAUUCUUCCGCAAUGGGCGAAAGCCUGACGGAGCAACGCCGCGUGAUUGAUGAAGGUCUUCGGAUCGUAAAACUCUGUUAUUAGGGAAGCGGUACCUAAUCAGAAAGCCACGGCUAACUACGUGCCAGCAGCCGCGGUAAUAC